rnacentral:rRNA from 1 species
CCUACGGGUGGCAGCAGUGAGGAAUAUUGGUCAAUGGGCGGGAGCCUGAACCAGUCAAGUCGCGUGAGGGACGACGGUCCUAUGGAUUGUAAACCUCUUUUGUCGGGGAACAAAGGCGCCCACGGGUGGGCGGAUGAGUGUACCCGAAGAAAAAGCAUCGGCUAACUCCGUGCCAGCAGCCGCGGUAAUACGUAGGGGGCAAGCGUUAUCCGGAUUUACUGGGUGUAAAGGGAGCGUAGACGGCAAUACAAGUCGGAAGUGAAAUACCCGGGCUCAACCUGGGAACUGCUUUGGAAACUGUAUGGCUGGAGUGCUGGAGAGGUAAGCGGAAUUCCUAGUGUAGCGGUGAAAUGCGUAGAUAUUAGGAGGAACACCAGUGGCGAAGGCGGCUUACUGGACAGUAACUGACGUUGAGGCUCGAAAGCGUGGGGAGCAAACAGGAUUAGAUACCCGAGUAGUC